AGAGUUUGAUCCUGGCUCAGAAUGAACGCUAGUGGUUAGCUUAACACAUGCAAGUUAAAUUUAAUGUUUAGCGAACGGGUGAGUAUUACAUAGAAAUUAGCCUUAAAAUUAGUUUAAGAAAAGUCUAUGCAGAAUUAGGUAGUUGGUAUGUAGAUGAGUAUACCAAGCCAAUGAUUCUUAGCUGGUCUGAGAGGAUGAGCAGCCACACUGGAAUUGAGAUACGGUCCAGACUCUUUUAAGAGGCAGCAGUGGGGAAUCUUAGGCAAUGAGCGAAAGCUUGACCUAGCUAAACCAUGUGUGUGAAGAAGAUAAUUAUUGUAAAGCACUUUAUUUGGUUAUUAAUUAUGAUCAUAUCAAAAAAAAGUCCUGGCUAAUUUCGUGCCAGCAGCCGCGGUAAAACGAAAAGGGCUAGCGUUAUUCGGAUUAAUUGGGUGUAAAGGAUACGUAGGUUGAAAAUUAACUAGUAAUUUAAAAUUAAAAUUUUAUGUUUUAAAUAGUUACUAAAGUAAUUUUCUUGAGUCCAGUGAGAAGAUUAUGGAAUUUUAAAUGUAACAGUAAAAUGUGUUGAUAUUUAAAGGAACCUCUAUAGCGAAAGCAAUAGUCUAGACUGUAACUAACACUGAGGUAUGAAAGCGUGGGUAGCAAAAGGGAUUAGAUACCCCCUUAGUCCACGCCCUUAACGAUGAGUGCUAUUUUUUGGUUUUUCAGAAAAACAACUAACGUGUUAAGCACUCCACCUGGGAACUACGAUCGCAAGAUUAAAACUCAAAGGAAUUGACGGGGACCUGCACAAGUAGUGGAGCAUGUGGUUUAAAUCGAUAAUACGCGCAAAACCUUACCAAUCUUUGUAUAAUAUUAUUAAAUGUUACAGGAGUUGCAUGGCUGUCGUCAGUCCGUGCCGUGAGGCGUUUGGUUUAUUCCAACAAACGGACGAAACUUUUUUAUGCUAAAUAAGUAUAUACCGCUAAGGAUAUCUUAGAGGAAGACAAAAACAACGUCAAGUCCUUAUGACCCUGAUAGGUUGGGCUACUUUCAUGUGCUACAAUAAAAUUUUCAAUUAGAAGCCAAAUCGCAAGUUUUAGCAAUACUUUAAAAAGUUUUAUUCGGAUUGUUCUCUGCAACUCGA
rnacentral:rRNA from 1 species